rnacentral:rRNA from 1 species
GGUUAAGCGACUAAGCGUACACGGUGGAUGCCCUGGCAGUCAGAGGCGAUGAAGGACGUGCUAAUCUGCGAUAAGCGUCGGUGAGGUGAUAUGAACCGUUAUAACCGGCGAUUUCCGAAUGGGGAAACCCAGUGUGAUUCGUCACACUAUCAUUAACUGAAUCCAUAGGUUAAUGAGGCGAACCGGGGGAACUGAAACAUCUAAGUACCCCGAGGAAAAGAAAUCAACCGAGAUUCCCCCAGUAGCGGCGAGCGAACGGGGAGGAGCCCAGAGCCUGAAUCAGUGUGUGUGUUAGUGGAAGCGUCUGGAAAGGCGCGCGAUACAGGGUGACAGCCCCGUACACAAAAAUGCACAUAUUGUGAGCUCGAUGAGUAGGGCGGGACACGUGGUAUCCUGUCUGAAUAUGGGGGGA